UACAGAGGCGGCAAGCGUUGUUCGGAAUUAUUGGGCGUAAAGAGCACGUAGGCGGCUGUGUAAGUCGGUUGUGAAAGCCUUCCGCUCAACGGAAGAACGGCAUCCGAUACUGCAUGGCUUGAGUGUGGGAGGGGAGAGUGGAACUUCUGGUGGAGCGGUGAAAUGCGUAGAGAUCCGGAGGAACACCAGUGGCGAAGGCGGCCACCUGGACUGUACCUGACGCUCAAACGCGAAAGCUAGGGGAGCGAAC
rnacentral:rRNA from 1 species